rnacentral:rRNA from 1 species
AUUGAACGCUGGCGGCAGGCCUAACACAUGCAAGUCGAACGAGUUGCGGACGGGUGAGUAAUGUCUGGGAAACUGCCUGAUGGAGGGGGAUAACUACUGGAAACGGUAGCUAAUACCGCAUACCAUCAUAUGUGCCCAUAUGGGAUUAGCUAGUUGGUGGGGUAACGGCUCACCAAGGCGACGCUCCCUAGCUGGUCUGAGAGGAUGACCAGACAGAAUGGAACUGAGAAACGGGCCAGACUCGUAGGGGAGGCAGAAGUGGGGAAUAUUGGACAAUGGGCGCAAGAAGGAUGCAGAAAUGCCGCGUGUAUGAAGAAGGCCUUAGGGUUGUAGAGUACUUUCAGCGGGGAGGCGUUACCCGGAGAAGAAGCACCGGCUAACUCCGUGCCAGCAGCCGCGGUAAUUC